AACAACCUCAGAAUAACCCAAAUCAACAACAGCAGCACAAGAACUCCUCAAAUCAACCCAUUAAAGAACAACACAAAAUUAACCCAAAUGAACAGCAGCAGCACAAGAACAACUCAAAUCAACCCAUUGAAAAACAACCCAAAGUGGGUCGGUUCGAGUAGGUGAGAGAAUGAGAGACAGAGUAGGCGAUGGGCGACUGAGGGGGGGCGAUCUAAGAAAGGGACGACGGCCGUGUGAGUAGGAGGGGGGGACGGCGGGCGGUGCUCGUAGCCUUGGCAGGGGAGACGGCGAGUGACGACGGUGGCGCCAUUCUCUCUCAAGGCCGAGACUGGCCGGGUGUGGGCGACGGUGAUGCAAGCAGUGCUAGAGGGGCUCACAACAAUGGCGGUGGCGCGAUCCUCCCUCAAGGCCGAGGGUAAGAGAGAGAGAGAGAGAGAGAGUAUGGGUGGAAGUUUGGGCAAUUGUGGGUGAGUGAGGGGAAUGAUCUAGAUCUGAAGAGAGAUAGAGAAAAAGAGUAAUAAGUGGGUAGGUUGGGAUUCAAAUUAUUUCAUUUCCAAAUUAUCUCAGGAUAAUGCUACAUAACCAAUUUGGCCGACAAUGCGAUUGACAAUCUGAUAUAAAAUUACACAUAUAUCCUUAAAUAUAAUUACAAAUCUACCCCUGACAAUAUUGGCAAAAGCCCACAUAUACCUUCAUCUUCAUCCUCAUUCUCUCUUUCUUUGCCCAAAAACUAUUGUCAACGAAUAUAGGUAGGGUUCUCUCCACCAUUGUCGUCUAAUUUUUCAAGCUGAGACGCCGCUCAACCAUUGCCGCUGGCUUCUGCAAGAUUCGGUCGGCGUUUGCUCGCUCCUCUAUCGGUCAGAAGUCCAGAAAAUCAAGUCGUCGGCAAUCAUGGCCUCUUCCCUCACUGCUGGUGGUUCUCUUUUCCCUCGCCACUAGUCGUUCCAUCUCCCCUCGCUGCCGGUUGUUCCAACUCUAAGUAACCCCCCCUUCUCUCUCUCUGUUCAUUCACAUAGAUGGUGUUUGUGGCUGUUAGUGUACCUUCCUCUCUAACAAAGUAUUCCUUCAUCUCUCACGCACAAUGCUAUUUCAUGAAAUUCAGUUUUUUAUUUUUUAUUUGGCAUUACAUUUUGCUGAUAUUAUGUUCAGUUGUUAAUUUUUUUCGGAUUUGACGUUAAUUUUUAUUUAACAAUUGUUAAAAUUAAAAUUUCACUCAUUGAGAUGGUAUUUAUUUCUUCAUUAAUUGAAUAUGCUUGUAUAAGUUGCAGCUGUAAGAGGGUUGUAGGGGAUGAGGGUUUAUCUUGUUAUAUUGGCUCUAUUAGCUAAGAAUCAAAUUGGUCUUGCAUACUUCAUAAUUUUUAGGUUGUUAACUUGUGCAUUCUUUCUGAUAGCAUGGUUUUAACUUACGGCUUAUGCAUCUUCUUCUAAUUCAAUAACUCUUGUCCAACAAAGAUCCCCAGUUGUGAAGGUAACUUUUGAAUAUUCUAUGUUGGCAAAUGCUUGUGGUUGCUUCUAUUGAACAUGAUAAUUCUUGUGCAGGUCUAAAUAUGUUUUAAUGCCUCUAAGCCCUUCAAUGUUCUAGCUGAUCGUAUUGUACUGGGAAUACCUGUAAGUAUGAACUACUUUAAAUAUGCUUUUAGAUUUGUUACAAGAGUUGCUUUCUAAAUUAUGUAUGUGGUCAUUAAGAUGCAAUAUAUUUGAACCAAAUGGUUGGAGGAAGUAAAUAUGUGAAUUUUUUGUUUAAGUGGUUGAUGUUGGUUAUUAAGGGGUUUAGUUAGGGGUGGGAGGAUGGAAUAUUAUUGUUUAAUCAAUGUUAUCUUUGCAAGAGUUAAUGGUGAAUUAAUUAUGCAAGGAUGGAGAACACCAUUGCACAUAUCAUUUCUUCAUGUAUGAGCAUCAUCUUCUUUCCUUUGAUUAAAAUCAAGCAUUUUUUCUUGGUGGUUUGUGCCGUGGCGCUGGAACCAGGAGUAUUUUGAUCUUAUUAAUACAGGUACACCUAUGGAUUUUGGCACAACAUGCAACAACCUUCAAAAUGGUGUAGAGUACAAGAACUCAAAGGAUGUUUUAAGAGAUGUGCAGCAUAUCUGGGAUCAGUGUCAUAAGUAUAAUAGAAAAGGCCAUGUUUUGGAGCUCAUGAAGUAGGUGAAGAAAAGUUUCACAUAGUUAUGGACAGAAGUUGGGUUAUACUGGGAACAAUCGCUUCAAUUUGUUUUUCUUUUGGGUUUCUGUUUCUUGUAAUUCUCAAUCAAAAUUGGGUUUCUAUUUGUAUUGUGCUGUUUCUUUUAAUUUUCCUUUGGUUUUUGUUUCUAUAGUAUUUUCCUUUUCUUUC